rnacentral:lncRNA from 1 species
GUUUUGCCUAUCUAUCUGUGUCCUAUUUUCUUGAGCAGGGGUAAUGAUGAGGUUGAAAAUCCACUUAAAUGUUAACUCUUACCCCUUUUUCCUUUGACUUUUUUUUUUUCCUUUUUUCCCUGUGCACAACUCUAAGAUUUUCUUUAGAGCUGAACUGCCACUUGAAUGAUUUCAGCCCCAGGGGUAAGGUUAAUUUGGAAAAAUUUGAGCUAUGUCACUUGAGGUGUUUUUGAAUUAGGCAAAUUGGGAGAAAAGAAAGACCUUUUGCCUGGACUGUCUAACUGUACCACGGUUAAUUACAAGAUGCAGAGGCUUAUAAUCUUCGGGGAAAAAAAGCCGCCUUAGGAUAAUUGCAUUCUUUUCUGUAUGACCUCAGAAAUCCCUCUAUGAUGUUGCCUCAUUUUUAAUUAAUGGUGAAUUGUCUAACAUUUGGGAUGUAGAUUUGGACUUUAGCUGAGCUACAUUAAGCACCAGAAAUAGGAAAUGAGACUUGCUUCCAAAGGAGUACCUCACUACUUAUGCUGCAUUUUAUGUGACCUGACAGUUGAAGGGUUAUCCAAGGGAAAUCUUGGCUCCAGACUUGCUUUACGUUUUAUCCAAGAAAGAGUUAAAAUUCAGCAUGGGGGGGUGGGGAAAUAUGUUCCACACAAAAAUGAAGAGUUCAGAAUUGUCCAGACCAGAAUAAUGAUUUUAAUUGUCUUCAAAACAAUUAUGGACAAUUACAUUAAAUCUCAAAUUAGCUAGUACAUGAAGUUCUUCAUUACAUCAGGACUGGUCCACCCCAGAUGUUCAUCCUGUGUAGGAGACAGUUGAGAAUCAGUGAGUCUGGACACAGGAUUUCUCCCUUCCCUUGCCCUUUGCUUCAUUGGCAGCUACUGUACCUCAUGAUUUAAACAUGGACAUUUCUAAUUAAAUGAGAGCUCAGCUGCAUUCUUGAACUAAUUUAUAACAUUUGAUUUGAAA